GUCGCCUCCUAAAAGGUAACGGAGGCGCUCAAAGGUUCCCUCAGAAUGGUUGGAAAUCAUUCAUAGAGUGUAAAGGCAUAAGGGAGCUUGACUGCGAGACCUACAAGUCGAGCAGGGUCGAAAGACGGACUUAGUGAUCCGGUGGUUCCGCAUGGAAGGGCCAUCGCUCAACGGAUAAAAGCUACCCCGGGGAUAACAGGCUUAUCUCCCCCAAGAGUUCACAUCGACGGGGAGGUUUGGCACCUCGAUGUCGGCUCAUCGCAUCCUGGGGCUGUAGUCGGUCCCAAGGGUUGGGCUGUUCGCCCAUUAAAGCGGUACGCGAGCUGGGUUCAGAACGUCGUGAGACAGUUCGGUCCCUAUCCGUCGUGGGCGUAGGAAAUUUGAGAGGAGCUGUCCUUAGUACGAGAGGACCGGGAUGGACAUACCUCUGGUGUACCAGUUGUCGUGCCAACGGCAUAGCUGGGUAGCUAUGUGUGGACGGGAUAAGUGCUGAAAGCAUCUAAGCAUGAAGCCCCCCUCAAGAUGAGA
rnacentral:rRNA from 1 species